GACGAACGCUGGCGGCGUGCUUAACACAUGCAAGUCGAACGGAAAGGCCCUGCUUUUGUGGGGUGCUCGAGUGGCGAACGGGUGAGUAACACGUGAGUAACCUGCCCUUGACUUUGGGAUAACUUCAGGAAACUGGGGCUAAUACCGGAUAGGAGCUCCUGCUGCAUGGUGGGGGUUGGAAAGUUUCGGCGGUUGGGGAUGGACUCGCGGCUUAUCAGCUUGUUGGUGGGGUAGUGGCUUACCAAGGCUUUGACGGGUAGCCGGCCUGGGAGGGUGACCGGCCACAUUGGGACUGGGAUACGGCCCAGACUCCUACGGGAGGCAGCGGUGGGGAAUAUUGCACAAUGGGCGGAGGCAUGAUGGAGCAACGCCGCGUGCGGGAUGACGGCCUUCGGGUUGUAAACCGCUUUCGCCUGUGACGACGCGUGAGUGACGUUACUGGGUAAAGAAGCACCGGCUAACUACGU
rnacentral:rRNA from 1 species